AAAGGGAGACCUAAUUCGGGUAUAAGACGAAAAAAAAGUAGUCCCUACCAAGAAUCAAUCCCAAAAGGUCGGAACGAGGUAUGAGGCUUUCAAACUAGGUUCUGGGUUCAUAAAAGACCUGAAUCAGGAACAAGGGCUAUUAGCUCAGGUGGUUAGAGCGCACCCCUGAUAAGGGUGAGGUCCCUGGUUCGAGUCCAGGAUGGCCCACCUGCACAGGUGGCAAAAACAAGAGAAGCGAGGAAUCAGCACCUUAUCUUGUAUACAUAUAUAAGAGAGAAUGCUGGCUCUGAGUACAGAGUCCAGAGGAACCUUGAAAACUGCAUAGAGCUAGGUGAAAAAGCCAAAAAAGAAGACCGCAAG
rnacentral:tRNA from 1 species